CUAGAGGAUACUUUCAACAUCGUGGCAGCUGAUGCUGUGGAUCCCCCAAAUAUCAUCGUCUUCGUGCGAAGAACCCCCAUCUUCAAUUUUUUUGCUUCAGAUGCUAAAAGUGCUAGCAUGGCAGGCAGACCGUGGAGCCCGAGCCGCCCGGUGUUAAUGAUGAUUAAUGAAGAGAGGAGAAAGGCUUCACCUCCUCCUGGCCCUGCGAUGACGCCCCUGAGGUGUGAGGCUAACUGAGCUCCCUCCUUUAAAUGUGUGACAAAUCGUCGUGUCAACACCAGGAAAUCCAAAUUCUGCAGUGGCGUAUGCGUGAAAUGAGACGGCCCAGACACAAACAAAUACGAUCUGUCAAGGGCUCUUGGAUAGCAGCAAUAGGCACAGGUGGAUGGCUCCCCGAGAUAAGCCGCAAAGCCUUUCUUUCCCCCAAUGAAAUAUGUAUGGAGCUCUAUGAAGGUGCAUCUCGGCAAACCUCUCUUUAUAAGAGAAUCCCAGUCCCUCCUUCUCUCCGUUCCAGCUCUGGAGAGUCA